rnacentral:rRNA from 1 species
UACGGAGGGUGCAAGCGUUGUCCGGAUUUAUUGGGUUAAAGGGUGCGUAGGCGGCCCGUUAAGUCAGUGGUGAAAGCCUCCAGCUCAACUGGAGAACUGCCAUUGAUACUGACGGGCUUGAGUACAGACGAGGUAGGCGGAAUUGAUUGUGUAGCGGUGAAAUGCAUAGAUACAAUCAAGAACACCGAUUGCGUAGGCAGCUUACUAGGCUGUAACUGACGCUGAGGCACGAAAGCGUGGGGAGCGAACAGG